UGGCUCAGAUGGUAAAGCGUCUGCCUGCAAUGCAGGAGAUCCAGGUUUGAUUCCUGG
rnacentral:tRNA from 1 species